rnacentral:rRNA from 1 species
GCAGGCUUAACACAUGCAAGUCGAGCGGUAACAGGAGAAGCUUGCUUCUCGCUGACGAGCGGCGGACGGGUGAGCAAUACUUAGGAAUCUGCCCAGUAGUGGGGGAUAGCUCGGGGAAACUCGAAUUAAUACCGCAUACACCCUACGGGGAAAAGGGGGCGCUUGCGCUCUCGCUAUUGGAUGAGCCUAAGUCGGAUUAGCUAGUUGGUGGGGUAAAGGCCUACCAAGGCGACGAUCUGUAGCUGGUCUGAGAGGAUGAUCAGCCACACCGGGACUGAGACACGGCCCGGACUCCUACGGGAGGCAGCAGUGGGGAAUAUUGGACAAUGGGGGCAACCCUGAUCCAGCCAUGCCGCGUGUGUGAAGAAGGCCUUUUGGUUGUAAAGCACUUUAAGCAGUGAAGAAGACCUAACGGUUAAUACCCGUUAGCGAUGACAUUAGCUGCAGAAUAAGCACCGGCUAACUCAGUGCCAGCAGCCGCGGUAAUACAGAGGGUGCAAGCGUUAAUCGGAAUUACUGGGCGUAAAGCGAGCGUAGGUGGCUUGAUAAGUCAGAUGUGAAAUCCCCGGGCUUAACCUGGGAACUGCAUCUGAUACUGUCAGGCUAGAGUAGGUGAGAGGGAGGUAGAAUUUCAGGUGUAGCGGUGAAAUGCGUAGAGAUCUGAAGGAAUACCGAUGGCGAAGGCAGCCUCCUGGCAUCAUACUGACACUGAGGUUCGAAAGCGUGGGUAGCAAACAGGAUUAGAUACCCUGGUAGUCCACGCCGUAAACGAUGUCUACUAGUCGUUGGGGAACUUGAUUCCUUAGUGACGCAGCUAACGCAAUAAGUAGACCGCCUGGGGAGUACGGCCGCAAGGUUAAAACUCAAAUGAAUUGACGGGGGCCCGCACAAGCGGUGGAGCAUGUGGUUUAAUUCGAUGCAACGCGAAGAACCUUACCUGGUCUUGACAUAUCUAGAAUCCUGCAGAGAUGCGGGAGUGCCUUCGGGAAUUAGAAUACAGGUGCUGCAUGGCUGUCGUCAGCUCGUGUCGUGAGAUGUUGGGUUAAGUCCCGCAACGAGCGCAACCCUUUUCCUUAGUUACCAGCGGUUUGGCCGGGGACUCUAAGGAUACUGCCAGUGACAAACUGGAGGAAGGCGGGGACGACGUCAAGUCAUCAUGGCCCUUACGACCAGGGCUACACACGUGCUACAAUGGUAGGUACAGAGGGCAGCUACACAGCGAUGUGAUGCGAAUCUCAAAAAGCCUAUCGUAGUCCAGAUUGGAGUCUGCAACUCGACUCCAUGAAGUAGGAAUCGCUAGUAAUCGCGGAUCAGAAUGCCGCGGUGAAUACGUUCCCGGGCCUUGUACACACCGCCCGUCACACCAUGGGAGUUGAUUGCACCAGAAGUGGGUAGCCUAACUUUUAGAGGGCGCUCACCACGGUGUGGUUGA